UCAUCCCCCACAACACUAGACCAGUUAGAUAGAGGUGGUGUUAUCAUCCCCCACAACACUAGACCAGUUAGAUAGAGGUGGUGUUAUCAUCCUACACUACACUAGACCAGUUAGAUAGGUGGUGUUAUCACCCCACACUACACUAGACCAGUUAGAUAGGUGGUGUUAUCACCCCACACUACACUAGACCAGUUAGAUAGGUGGUGUUAUCACCCCACACUACACUAGACCAGUUAGAUAGAGGUGGUGUUAUCAUCCUACACUACACUAGACCAGUUAGAUAGGUGGUGUUAUCACCCCACACUACACUAGACCAGUUAGAUAGAGGUGGUGUUAUCAUCCCACACUACACUAGACCAGUUAGAUAGAGGUGGUGUUAUCAUCCCCCACAACACUAGACCAGUUAGAUAGAGGUGGUGUUAUCAUCCUACACUACACUAGACCAGUUAGAUAGGUGGUGUUAUCACCCCACACUACACUAGACCAGUUAGAUAGAGGUGGUGUUAUCAUCCUACACUACACUAGACCAGUUAGAUAGGUGGUGUUAUCACCCCACACUACACUAGACCAGUUAGAUAGAGGUGGUGUUAUCAUCCCACACUACACUAGACCAGUUAGAUAGAGGUGGUGUUAUCAUCCCCCACAACACUAGACCAGUUCGGUAGAGGUGGUGUUAUCAUCCCACACUACACUAGACCAGUUAGAUAGAGGUGGUGUUAUCAUCCCCCACAACACUAGACCAGUUAGAUAGGUGGUGUUAUCACCCCACACUACACUAGACCAGUUAGAUAGAGGUGGUGUUAUCAUCCCCCACAACACUAGACCAGUUAGAUAGAGGUGGUGUUAUCAUCCCCCACAACACUAGACCAGUUAGAUAGAGGUGGUGUUAUCAUCCUACACUACACUAGACCAGUUAGAUAGGUGGUGUUAUCACCCCACACUACACUAGACCAGUUAGAUAGGUGGUGUUAUCACCCCACACUACACUAGACCAGUUAGAUAGGUGGUGUUAUCACCCCACACUACACUAGACCAGUUAGAUAGAGGUGGUGUUAUCAUCCCACACUACACUAGACCAGUUAGAUAGAGGUGGUGUUAUCAUCCCCCACAACACUAGACCAGUUAGAUAGAGGUGGUGUUAUCAUCCUACACUACACUAGACCAGUUAGAUAGGUGGUGUUAUCACCCCACACUACACUAGACCAGUUAGAUAGAGGUGGUGUUAUCAUCCUACACUACACUAGACCAGUUAGAUAGGUGGUGUUAUCACCCCACACUACACUAGACCAGUUAGAUAGAGGUGGUGUUAUCAUCCUACACUACACUAGACCAGUUAGAUAGGUGGUGUUAUCACCCCACACUACACUAGACCAGUUAGAUAGAGGUGGUGUUAUCAUCCCACACUACACUAGACCAGUUAGAUAGAGGUGGUGUUAUCAUCCCCCACAACACUAGACCAGUUAGAUAGAGGUGGUGUUAUCAUCCUACACUACACUAGACCAGUUAGAUAGGUGGUGUUAUCACCCCACACUACACUAGACCAGUUAGAUAGAGGUGGUGUUAUCAUCCUACACUACACUAGACCAGUUAGAUAGGUGGUGUUAUCACCCCACACUACACUAGACCAGUUAGAUAGAGGUGGUGUUAUCAUCCCACACUACAUUAGACCAGUUAGAUAGAGGUGGUGUUAUCAUCCCCCACAACACUAGACCAGUUCGGUAGAGGUGGUGUUAUCAUCCCACACUACACUAGACCAGUUAGAUAGAGGUGGUGUUAUCAUCCCCCACAACACUAGACCAGUUAGAUAGAGGUGGUGUUAUCAUCCUACACUACACUAGACCAGUUAGAUAGGUGGUGUUAUCACCCCACACUACACUAGACCAGUUAGAUAGAGGUGGUGUUAUCAUCCCCCACAACACUAGACCAGUUAGAUAGAGGUGGUGUUAUCAUCCUACACUACACUAGACCAGUUAGAUAGGUGGUGUUAUCACCCCACACUACACUAGACCAGUUAGAUAGAGGUGGUGUUAUCAUCCCACACUACACUAGACCAGUUAGAUAGAGGUGGUGUUAUCAUCCCCCACAACACUAGACCAGUUAGAUAGAGGUGGUGUUAUCAUCCCACACUACACUAGACCAGUUAGAUAGAGGUGGUGUUAUCAUCCCCCACUACACUAGACCAGUUAGAUAGAGGUGGUGUUAUCAUCCCACACUACACUAGACCAGUUAGAUAGAGGUGGUGUUAUCAUCCCACACUACACUAGACCAGUUAGAUAGAGGUGGUGUUAUCAUCCCACACUACACUAGACCAGUUAGAUAGAGGUGGUGUUAUCAUCCCCCACUACACUAGACCAGUUAGAUAGAGGUGGUGUUAUCAUCCCCCACUAGACCAGUUAGGUAGAGGUGGUGUUAUCAUCCCCCACUAGACCAGUUAGAUAGAGGUGGUGUUAUCAUCCCACACUAGACCAGUUAGAUAGAGGUGGUGUUAUCAUCCCCCACUAGACCAGUUAGAUAGAGGUGGUGUUAUCAUCCCCCACUAGACCAGUUAGAUAGAGGUGGUGUUAUCAUCCCACACUACACUAGACCAGUUAGAUAGAGGUGGUGUUAUCAUCCCACACUACACUAGACCAGUUAGAUAGAGGUGGUGUUAUCAUCCCACACUACACUAGACCAGUUAGGUAGAGGUGGUGUUAUCAUCCCCCACUAGACCAGUUAGAUAGAGGUGGUGUUAUCAUCCCACACUACACUAGACCAGUUAGAUAGAGGUGGUGUUAUCAUCCCACACUACACUAGACCAGUUAGAUAGAGGUGGUGUUAUCAUCCCACACUACACUAGACCAGUUAGGUAGAGGUGGUGUUAUCAUCUCCCACUACACCAGACCAGUUAGGUUGAGGUGGUGUUAUCAUCCCACACUACACUAGACCAGUUAGGUAGAGGUGGUGUUAUCAUCCCCCACUAGACCAGUUUGGUUAGAGGUGGUGUUAUCAUCCCCAACUAGACCAGUUUGAUAGAGGUGGUGUUAUCAUCCCCCACUAGACCAGUUAGAUAGAGGUGGUGUUAUCAUCCCACACUACACUAGACCAGUUAGAUAGAGGUGGUGUUAUCAUCCCCCACUACACUAGACCAGUUAGAUAGAGGUGGUGUUAUCAUCCCACACUACACUAGACCAGUUAGAUAGAGGUGGUGUUAUCAUCCCACACUACACUAGACCAGUUAGAUAGAGGUGGUGUUAUCAUCCCCCACUACACUAGACCAGUUAGAUAGAGGUGGUGUUAUCAUCCCACACUACACUAGACCAGUUAGAUAGAGGUGGUGUUAUCAUCCCACACUACACUAGACCAGUUAGAUAGAGGUGGUGUUAUCAUCCCACACUACACUAGACCAGUUAGAUAGAGGUGGUGUUAUCAUCCCCCACUACACUAGACCAGUUAGGUAGAGGUGGUGUUAUCAUCCCCCACUAGACCAGUUAGAUAGAGGUGGUGUUAUCAUCCCCCACUAGACCAGUUAGAUAGAGGUGGUGUUAUCAUCCCACACUACACUAGACCAGUUAGAUAGAGGUGGUGUUAUCAUCCCCCACUACACUAGACCAGUUAGAUAGAGGUGGUGUUAUCAUCCCCCACUAGACCAGUUAGGUAGAGGUGGUGUUAUCAUCCUCCACUAGACCAGUUAGAUAGAGGUGGUGUUAUCAUCCCACACUAGACCAGUUAGGUAGAGGUGGUGUUAUCAUCCCCCACUACACUAGACCAGUUAGGUAGAGGUGGUGUUAUCAUCCCCCACUAGACCAGUUAGAUAGAGGUGGUGUUAUCAUCCCCCACUAGACCAGUUAGAUAGAGGUGGUGUUAUCAUCCCCCACUAGACCAGUUAGAUAGAGGUGGUGUUAUCAUCCCACACUAGACCAGUUAGAUAGAGGUGGUGUUAUCAUCCCCCACUAGACCAGUUAGAUAGAGGUGGUGUUAUCAUCCCCCACUAGACCAGUUAGAUAGAGGUGGUGUUAUCAUCCCACACUACACUAGACCAGUUAGAUAGAGGUGGUGUUAUCAUCCCACACUACACUAGACCAGUUAGAUAGAGGUGGUGUUAUCAUCCCACACUACACUAGACCAGUUAGGUAGAGGUGGUGUUAUCAUCCCCCACUAGACCAGUUAGAUAGAGGUGGUGUUAUCAUCCCACACUACACUAGACCAGUUAGAUAGAGGUGGUGUUAUCAUCCCACACUACACUAGACCAGUUAGGUAGAGGUGGUGUUAUCAUCUCCCACUACACCAGACCAGUUAGGUUGAGGUGGUGUUAUCAUCCCACACUACACUAGACCAGUUAGGUAGAGGUGGUGUUAUCAUCCCCCACUAGACCAGUUUGGUUAGAGGUGGUGUUAUCAUCCCCCACUACACUAGACCAGUUUGAUAGAGGUGGUGUUAUCAUCCCCCACUAGACCAGUUAGAUAGAGGUGGUGUUAUCAUCCCCCACUACACUAGACCAGUUAGAUAGAGGUGGUGUUAUCAUCCCACACUACACUAGACCAGUUAGAUAGAGGUGGUGUUAUCAUCCCCCACUAGACCAGUUAGAUAGAGGUGGUGUUAUCAUCCCCCACUACACUAGACCAGUUAGGUAGAGGUGGUGUUAUCAUCCCCCACUAGACCAGUUAGAUAGAGGUGGUGUUAUCAUCCCCCACUAGACCAGUUAGAUAGAGGUGGUGUUAUCAUCCCCCACUAGACCAGUUAGAUAGAGGUGGUGUUAUCAUCCCCCACUAGACCAGUUAGAUAGAGGUGGUGUUAUCAUCCCACACUACACUAGACCAGUUAGAUAGAGGUGGUGUUAUCAUCCCCCACUACACUAGACCAGUUAGAUAGAGGUGGUGUUAUCAUCCCCCACUAGACCAGUUAGGUAGAGGUGGUGUUAUCAUCCCCAACUAGACCAGUUUGAUAGAGGUGGUGUUAUCAUCCCCCACUAGACCAGUUAGAUAGAGGUGGUGUUAUCAUCCCACACUACACUAGACCAGUUAGAUAGAGGUGGUGUUAUCAUCCCACACUACACUAGACCAGUUAGACAGAGUUGGUGUUAUCAUCCCACACUACACUAGACCAGUAAGAUAGAGGUGGUGUUAUCAUCCCACACUACACUAGACCAGUUAGAUAGAGGUGGUGUUAUCAUCCCACACUACACCAGACCAGUUCGGUAGAGGUGGUGUUAUCAUCCCACACCAGACCAGUUAGAUAGAGGUGGUGUUAUCAUCCCACAACAGACCAGCUCGAUAGAGGUGGUGCUGUCAUCCUACACUAGACCAGUUAGAUAGAGGUGGUGUUAUCAUCCCACACUACACCAGACCAGUUCGGUAGAGGUGGUGUUAUCAUCCCCCACUACACUAGACCAGUUAGAUAGAGGUGGUGUUAUCAUCCCACACUACACCAGACCAGUUCGGUAGAGGUGGUGUUAUCAUCCCACACUACACCAGACCAGUUCGGUACAGGUGGUGUUAUCAUCCCCCACUACACCAGUUAGAUAGAGGUGGUGUUAUCAUCCCACACUACACUAGACCAGUUAGAUAGAGGUGGUGUUAUCAUCCCACACUACACCAGACCAGUUAGAUAGAGGUGGUGUUAUCAUCCCCCACUAGACCAGUUAGAUAGAGGUGGUGUUAUCAUCCCACACUACACCAGACCAGUUAGAUAGAGGUGGUGUUAUCAUCCCACACUACACUAGACCAGUUAGAUAGAGGUGGUGUUAUCAUCCCACACUACACCAGACCAGUUAGAUAGAGGUGGUGUUAUCAUCCCACACUACACCAGACCAGUUAGAUAGAGGUGGUGUUAUCAUCCCCCACUAGACCAGUUAGAUAGAGGUGGUGUUAUCAUCCCACACUACACCAGUUAGAUAGAGGUGGUGUUAUCAUCCCACGCUACACUAGACCAGCUAGAUAGAGGUGGUGUUAUCAUCCCACACUACACCAGACCAGUUCGGUAGAGGUGGUGUUAUCAUCCCACACUACACCAGACCAGUUCGGUAGAGGUGGUGUUAUCAUCCCACACUACACCAGACCAGUUAGAUAGAAGUGGUGUUAUCAUCCCACACUACACUAGACCAGUUUGGUAGAGGUGGUGUUAUCAUCCCACACUACACCAGACCAGUUCGGUAGAGGUGGUGUUAUCAUCCCACACUACACCAGACCAGUUAGAUAGAGGUGGUGUUAUCAUCCCACACUACACUAGACCAGUUCGGUAGAGGUGGUGUUAUCAUCCCACACUACACUAGACCAGUUAGAUAGAGGUGGUGUUAUCAUCCCACACUACACUAGACCAGUUAGAUAGAGGUGGUGUUAUCAUCCCACACUACACUAGACCAGUUCGGUAGAGGUGGUGUUAUCAUCCUACACUACACCAGACCAGUUCGGUAGAGGUGGUG